UAAGGAAUAUUGGGCAAUGGACGCAAGUCUGACCCAGCCAUGCCGCGUGAAGGAAGACGGCCCUAUGGGUUGUAAACUUCUUUUCUCUGGGGGUAAACUCUGGAACGAGUUCCGGACUGAAAGUACCUGAGGAAUAAGCAUCGGCUAACUCCGUGCCAGCAGCCGCGGUAAUACGGAGGAUGCGAGCGUUAUCCGGAUUCAUUGGGUUUAAAGGGUGCGCAGGCGGAUAUAUAAGUCGGAGGUGAAAUUCUGAUGCUCAACAUCAGCCGUGCCGUCGAUACUGUAUAUCCAGAGUCAAGUUGGAGUAGGCGGAAUGUGUUGUGUAGCGGUGAAAUGCUUAGAUAUAACACAGAACACCGAUCGCGAAGGCAGCUUACUAAACUUUGACUGACGCUCAUGCACGAAAGCGUGGGGAUCAAACAG
rnacentral:rRNA from 1 species